rnacentral:rRNA from 1 species
GGACCCGCACAAGCGGUGGAUGAUGUGGUUUAAUUCGAUGCAACGCGAAAAACCUUACCUACCCUUGACAUGUACGGAACUUGCCAGAGAUGGCUUGGUGCUCGAAAGAGAGCCGUAACACAGGUGCUGCAUGGCUGUCGUCAGCUCGUGUCGUGAGAUGUUGGGUUAAGUCCCGCAACGAGCGCAACCCUUGUCAUUAGUUGCUACAUUUAGUUGGGCACUCUAAUGAGACUGCCGGUGACAAACCGGAGGAAGGUGGGGAUGACGUCAAGUCCUCAUGGCCCUUAUGGGUAGGGCUACACACGUCAUACAAUGGCUGGUACAAAGGGUUGCCAACCCGCGAGGGGGAGCUAAUCCCAUAAAGCCAGUCGUAGUCCGGAUCGUAGUCUGCAACUCGACUGCGUGAAGUCGGAAUCGCUAG